rnacentral:rRNA from 1 species
UACGUAGGGUGCAAGCGUUAAUCGGAAUUACUGGGCGUAAAGCGUGCGCAGGCGGUUUUGUAAGUCUGUCGUGAAAGCCCCGGGCUCAACCUGGGAAUUGCGAUGGAGACUGCAAGGCUUGAAUCUGGCAGAGGGGGGUAGAAUUCCACGUGUAGCAGGUGAAAUGCGUAGAGAUGUGGAGGAACACCGAUGGCGAAGGCAGCCCCCUGGGUCAAGAUUGACGCUCGAUGCACGAAAGCGUGGGGAGCAAACAGG